GUCUCUGUGGCGCAAUCGGUUAGCGCGUGCGGCUGUUGACUGAAAGGUUGGUGGUUCAAGCCCACCCAGGGACG
rnacentral:tRNA from 1 species